UUCUCUUCUCUGAUUAUUAGGGUUCCACUACUCUGAUUUCAGAGAACUUAUGAAGUCUCAAAUCAGUAAUCUCUUUGAGAUUAAGGUCGAACGAUUUACUGAUUUCAGAGAUCUCAAGUCCCAAAUCAACCCCUAAUCUCAAAUCCGAGAACUGACCUAGCAGCGCCGUUCUCCACCAUGAUUCGAUCUAUUAAUGGAAGUAAACUCAAUCCACCAUGAUUCGAUCUCAGCUGUUGCAUUAUAUUUUUGGAUCUAUAACCAUCUUCUUCGAUCUAUACAUAUUUUCUUUCUUCCAUCUCACUGUGAACCAUUUUCUUCUUUAGUCUUUUACCGUAAAUUCUCAUUGCUUUUGGGUUUUUUUCUCUGUGCGGGUGGAGAUUAAUAGGUUAAGUGAAGAUCUAAUUCGAUUGAAGAUCAGAUAUCGGCUGUUGAUACGUGGUUCGAUGGCUACAUCGACUUGGAUGCAUACGAUACACUGGAAAUGAAGCUUAAAGGAGAAGGGAGAUGAUAUAUAUCUGCCGGAAAGGAUCUUGCGUCAGUGUCCACCAUGCUCCCCACUAACAAUAACGAAGAUUUGGUAUGUGAAGUGCUGUACCUUCACUUUUCUGUGUAAUUUCUCUUGUGCCAAGUGCUUAAUCUUAACUUUAUAUUCUCGCCAAACCAUGUUAUAUUGGGGGUUGAGCCUGCAUCAACAACUACUCUAGUCCCAGUAA